rnacentral:tRNA from 1 species
GGACCCAUAGCUCAGUCGGUUAGAGCAUCUGACUCAUAAUCAGGGGGUCGCAGGUUCAAGCCCUGCUGGGUCCA